UUUUUGCUUUCUGUCUGAUAUAG
rnacentral:miRNA from 1 species